AUGUGUUAACCCUAGCCUGACCACGGCCCCCCCCCAACCCCACCCAUUUACCAGUAAUAAACAAAACAUUUUAAACCUCUAGUAUUUGUGAAAGAAAAAGAAAUCAGAGCUAUAUAGACAGUACCGCAAGGGAAUGGUGAAACAACAGUGAAAUUUAAUACACCAAAAAGCAGAGAUUUCACCUCGUACCUUUUGCAUUAUGAUCUAACUAGACAAACCAAGCAAGAUGCCUCCUAGUUUGACGCCCCGAAACUAAGUGAGCUACUCCGAGGCAACUUUAAGCCAACCCGUCUCUGUGGCAAAAGAGUGGGACGACCUCCUAGUAGCGGUGAUAUGCCUAUCGAACUUAGAGAUAGCUGGUUGCUCAGGAAAGAAUUUAGUUCCCUCUUAAGACUCAUCAUCAGCACUCAUAAGCAAACAUAACCCUUAAGAACUAUUCAAUAAGGGUACAGCCUUAUUGAAAAAGGAUACAACCUAAACUUUCGGCUAAUGGUAUUCCAAACAAGGACAAAGUUGGCUUAAAAGCAGUCACCUUUUAAAAAGCGUCAAAGCUUUACCCUUACCCCCCCCCCCCCCAAUCCCCUUCCCCAUCCAGAACCCAACCCCACUACUGAGCUAUCCCAUACUCAUAUGGGAGUAUUUAUGUUAGAACUAGUAACACAGGAUAAAUCCUCUUACAUGCAAGCGUAAAUCAAAACGAAUACCUCAUUGAUAAUUACUCAGACUGAACCUAAAGUAGCAACACCCCCCCCCCCCCGAAAACCCUACUCCCCUACACUACUGUUAACCUUACACAAGAGCAUGAAAAAAAGAUUAAAAGACUGAGAAGGAACUCGGCAAAUACUAGCUCCGCCUGUUUACCAAAAACAUCGCCUUUUGACCCCCCCCAUAAAAGGUAACGCCUGCCCGGUGACUAUAUGUUUAACGGCCGCGGUAUCUUAACCGUGCGAAGGUAGCGUAAUCACUUGUCUUCUAAAUAGGGACUAGUAUGAACGGCAUCACGAGAGCUAACCUGUCUCCCCAGUCCAAUCAGUGAAACUGAUCUCCCCGUGCAGAAGCGGGGAUAUACCUAUCAGACGAGAAGACCCUGUGAAGCUUAAAACUUAAAAUCAACUGGCACCUAAACUUCCUCCCGAACAAACCCUGCAGACUUGAUCUACGUUUUUGGCUGGGGCGUCCUUGGAGAAAAACAAACCCUCCAAAAAGAAUAAAGCUACGAGUCACCACUCUAGGCAUUAAUAAAAUUAACUUCAAUUGACCCAAUAAAUUGAUCAAUGGACCAAGUUACUCCAGGGAUAACAGCGCAAUCCACUUUUAGAGUCCCUAUCGACAAGUGGGCUUACGACCUCGAUGUUGGAUCAGGGCAUCCUGGUGGUGCAGCCGCUACCAAG
rnacentral:rRNA from 1 species